ensembl:snRNA U6 U6 spliceosomal RNA
GAGCUCCCUUUGGCAGCACAUACACUAAAAUUUGAAUGAUACAGAUAAGAUUAUCAUGGCCUCUGCACAAGUAUGACAUGCAAAUUCAUGAAGUGUUCUGUAUUUAA